CUGAGUUUACAACUCCCAAACCCUUUGUGAACAUACCUUUUUGUUGCUUCGGCGGGAUCGCCCCGGCUGCCCUGAGCGCCGGAACCAGGCCCCCGCCGCAAGACCUUAAACUCUGUUUUAUUAUAGUUUACUCUGAGUAGCUUCUAAAGCAAAGAAAUAAAUCA
rnacentral:misc_RNA from 1 species